rnacentral:lncRNA from 1 species
UCUCUGGGUUGGUAUGAUACCAAUUACUGGGACCUGUUCAGGGGCCUAAAAGCCUGACUCAUUAGCCCAAGGGGAAAGAUUCUUUGAGGGCAGAAGCUGCUACAGCACAUGAGACAUGAGAAAAGUUUCCAGCAGCAGGUGGGAAGUACAAAGAGAGAGCCUGGACAACCUGGGGACUCUCCUCACCAGGAAAUUCAGAACCACAGGAGACGAAAGAAGCUAAUGAAAUCAUCUUCAGAGCAACCCAAGUUCCACGUGGGCAAGGACUGUCUUGAAUUUAAUCGCUUCCCCCAGAGCGGAAGGCUGGACGCACCCUCGGGAUCGGUAAGUUUGGGCGCCGGGCGGCCUCCUCGAGGGGGGGAGAGCAGCCCAGGCCCCUCCAGGGCCUUAGCCGGGGAGGGGGGCCGGGUCCCGGGAGCGCAGCGGAUCCAUCCCUGCGCGCCCCGGGCAGCCUCGCCCCUCGGCUUUCAUCUCCGUGGGAAAGGGCGCCCGCAGGCGUGUGGGUGUGCGGGCGCGGGCCCUGGCGGCGCUCUCCGGGCGGGCGGCCGUUUCGCUGGGUUGUUUUCCUGCCCCAUCCUGGGCAGAUAAGAUCUGGACCGGCUUGCGGUUCUUCUCUCUC